rnacentral:lncRNA from 1 species
UAUGUUAGUAGUAUCAUAUACUCUUGCUUUAAAAACCGUUUUAUAAGUAUAGUGGGAGUAUUAUAUACAACUAAAACAAUCAAAUGGACCAAUAGUUGUAAUAGGACCAAACCAUUAUUAAGUUGAUAAGCGUGAGAGUGCUUUGAACACUUUUUCGUGGCCUUCCACCGUGGUAGGCUCCAAUUGUUUAUGACUUGUACACCGCCUUCACCCUAUCAUGGGGGAGUGCAAAGUGCAUGCUUAUACUCAGGAGGAGUCUAUAUACAUACUUGAUGAGGUGAGUGUAGGCAACGAGGAUGGCCGACAUCGUAUCAUCGUGAGGCUAUUCUUGAACCCCUUUAUGAACUAAGCAUGGUGGGAAUGACUUAACUAAGUGCAAUGGAGCCAACAUCAUAUCAUUGUGAGGUAACAUUCUCUAGAGGCCAAAUAAGAUGGGUACUUGCAAGUGAUGCAAAUGAGUAAGCGUACUCUCUCAUUAUUAUUAAUGCUAGCCAACAUCAUAUCAUUGUGAGGUGGGCUUGGUAGUAGUGAGUCUCCCAUACCCUACUAAGAGUUUCAUCCAAAACUCUCGAAUUCCAAUGAGGGAUAUGGAAUUUGCCAAAAAUAGUGGGUGGUGCUAUUUGAUUUAAAGACCCGAAUCAAAUGGCUUAAAAUCAAUCAAUUUAUAUUUGUUAUGUAUUUGUUUACCAAUAUAUUUGCAAACGCUAUCCCACACUUGACAAAUAAAAGCUGAAAGCUUUAGUUUCCGAACUUGGUACUACAAAACCAUAGAUUGUCUUUAAUGGCUUGUAAGUGUACCUAAGUAGUCUCAUCCUCACAAUCUUCCUAUUGAUAAUGUAUCAUUAGAAGAAUAUGUUAGAAAAGUCUAUCAUAAAGAGGACAACACUUUUAAUGUCAUAAUUCUUCAAUUACAAAAUGUUGUAUGAAGAAAUAGGAGUUGCUUUGAACAACUCUUAGUCAAUGCAAACACUUAGUGCUUGUUUCUUUGUUACAUGAACAAGGAACUUGAGAAGAAAGCACAAAGGCAUGGACACUUAAUGUGCCUUGUACAACUCUUGAAAGUUGCCUUGUACAACUCUUGAAAGUUUGUAAUUAUGUUUAGAACAUAAUGGUUGGUUGACAAAAUUAGUCCAUCAACAUGGACUUAUGAUGAUUUUGAAUCAUUGAGUGUUGAAGUGUUAAACCACUUAACGAGACGGAAACUAGGCAAGGACUUCACCUUUAUGUCCCUAUCCUAAUGGUUCACUAAGUUUAUUGUAAACUAUGUAGUGAACAAUAACUACACUCUCUCCAAAUUGUUUAAUGUGUAUAACACAAUUGAAAUAAGUUUCAAGAGAGAUAGUGGGAGUUUAGGGACCAUGACUAUUGUUGUCAAAGGAGAAGUCAAAUGAAGAAGAUAAUAUUAACUCCAAGGGAACAAACUUUCUUUAUGAAAGGAUGGACAUUGGAAGGGGUAUUUGCAAGAAAUGUCUUG